CCUACGGGGGACAGCAGUGAGGAAUAUUGGUCAAUGGACGAGAGUCUGAACCAGCCAAGUAGCGUGAAGGAUGACUGCCCUAUGGGUUGUAAACUUCUUUUAUAUGGGAAUAAAAUGUUCCACGUGUGGGAUUUUGUAUGUACCAUAUGAAUAAGGAUCGGCUAACUCCGUGCCAGCAGCCGCGGUAAUACGGAGGAUCCGAGCGUUAUCCGGAUUUAUUGGGUUUAAAGGGAGCGUAGGUGGAUUGUUAAGUCAGUUGUGAAAGUUUGCGGCUCAACCGUAAAAUUGCAGUUGAAACUGGCAGUCUUGAGUACAGUAGAGGUGGGCGGAAUGCGUGGUGUAGCGGUGAAAUGCUUAGAUAUCACGAAGAACUCCGAUUGCGAAGGCAGUUCACUGGACUGCAACUGACACUGAGGCUCGAAAGUGUGGGUAUCAAACAGGAUUAGAUACCCUAGUAGUC
rnacentral:rRNA from 1 species